rfam:Deltaproteobacteria bacterium RBG_19FT_COMBO_52_11 rbg_19ft_combo_scaffold_9275, whole genome shotgun sequence.
GAAGCCUAUCCGGGUAACCGUUAGCCGCGGGCCUGGGAUCGAGCCUUGCAGGUGCAGUGGCAGCACUGUGCUUGAUGCGUAGGCACGAGAGGAGGUGAGGUGCAAUGGUAAUUCUUCAAGUACG